rnacentral:lncRNA from 1 species
UAUAUGAGGCAUGACUAAGUUGGAGCACCACUGUGAAUUGCUUCUGGUCUCACACAUGGAAAUAUAAAUGUGUUAAUCAUAGUGCCUCAUCAUCAGAGGGGUUCUUAAUACAACUCCGCUUCUUCCAAUUGUUUUUUUGUGUGCUCAGAUGGACUGCAGUUCCCCAGAAGGAGAGACUUGUUUUCGGCUGUUAUUUAACGUGGCAGCAGGCUGAGACGCAGUGCAGUCGGUGGCUCACAGAAGGUUCGCUUCUCAGGAGACUUGCCCAUGGCGUGCGGAGCUUUUCAGGAAAACAAAAGAAUCUUAUGGGAGCUAUCUUCCUCUCCACUUGUUCACUCCAGCCUGAUGAGAUUCAUAUAUUUCAACCCGUAAAUCUGCUAUUCUUAGGAAACGGGC